AUACGGAGGAUGCGAGCGUUAUCCGGAUUUAUUAGGUUUAAAGGGUGUGUAGGCGGUAUUUUAAGUCAGUGGUGAAAUCUUUCAGCUUAACUGAGAAACUGCCAUUGAUACUGGAAUACUUGAGUAUAGUUGAGGUAGGCGGAAUAUGUAAUGUAGCGGUGAAUGCAUAGAUAUUACAUAGAACACCGAUUGCGAAGGCAGCUUACUAAACUAUUACUGACGCUGAUGCACGAAAGCGUGGGGAGCGAACAGGAUUAGAAACCCUAGUAGUCC
rnacentral:rRNA from 1 species